UCUACGGGCGGCAGCAGUGGGGAAUAUUGGACAAUGGGCGAAAGCCUGAUCCAGCCAUGCCGCGUGUGUGAAGAAGGCCUUCGGGUUGUAAAGCACUUUCAGUGGGGAAGAAAGCCUUGGGGCUAAUACCCUCGAGGAAGGACAUCACCCACAGAAGAAGCACCGGCUAACUCCCGUGCCAGCAGCCGCGGUAAUACGGAGGGUGCGAGCGUUAAUCGGAAUUACUGGGCGUAAAGCGCGCGUAGGCGGUCUGAUAAGCCGGUUGUGAAAGCCCCGGGCUCAACCUGGGAACGGCAUCCGGAACUGUCAGGCUAGAGUGCAGGAGAGGAAGGUAGAAUUCCCGGUGUAGCGGUGAAAUGCGUAGAGAGCGGGAGGAAUACCAGUGGCGAAGGCGGCCUUCUGGACUGACACUGACGCUGAGGUGCGAAAGCGUGGGUAGCAAACAGGAUUAGAUACCCCAGUAGUC
rnacentral:rRNA from 1 species